rnacentral:lncRNA from 1 species
GCUGCUGGCUUACAAUAUGAAGUUGGAGACAAAUGUCAAGUUAGAUUGGAUCACAAUGGAAAAUUUUUGAAUGCAGAUGUUCAAGGAGUUCAUUCUGAGAAUGGACCAGUUUUGGUUGAAGAACUGGGAAAGAAGCACACAUCAAAGAACCUCAAGGCACCUCCCCCAGAAAGCUGGAACACAGUGUCAGGGAAGAAGAUGAAAAAACCUUCCACUUCU